rnacentral:rRNA from 1 species
GACGAACGCUGGCGGCGUGCCUAAUACAUGCAAGUAGAACGCUGAAGAGAGGAGCUUGCUCUUCUUGGAUGAGUUGCGAACGGGUGAGUAACGCGUAGGUAACCUGCCUUGUAUCGGGGGAUAACUAUUGGAAACGAUAGCUAAUACCGCAUAACAAUGGAUGACACAUGUCAUUUAUUUGAAAGGGGCAAUUGCUCCACUACAAGAUGGACCUGCGUUGUAUUAGCUAGUAGGUGAGGUAAUGGCUCACCUAGGCGACGAUACAUAGCCGACCUGAGAGGGUGAUCGGCCAAACUGGGAAUGGGACACGGCCCAGACGCCUGCGGGAGGGAGCAGUAGGGAAACUUCGGAAAUGGGGGGAAACCUGACCGAGCAACGCCGGGUGAGUGAAGAAGGUUUUCGGAUCGUAAAGCUCUGUUGUAAGUCAAGAACGGGUGUGAGAGUGGAAAGUUCACACUGUGACGGUAGCUUAACAGAAAGGGACGGCUAACUACGUG